rnacentral:rRNA from 1 species
CACGGCUAACUUCGUGCCAGCAGCCGCGGUAAGACGAAGGUGGCGAGCGUUAUUCGGAUUUACUGGGCAUAAAGCGCGCGUAGGCGGCUUGAUCAGUCGGAGGUGAAAGCCCGCAGCUCAACUGCGGAAUUGCCCCCGAUACUGUCAAGCUUGAGUGCGGGAGGGGUGACUGGAACUCCAGGUGUAGCGGUGAAAUGCGUAGAUA